rnacentral:rRNA from 1 species
GGGACACGUGGUAUCCUGUCUGAAUAUGGGGGGACCAUCCUCCAAGGCUAAAUACUCCUGACUGACCGAUAGUGAACCAGUACCGUGAGGGAAAGGCGAAAAGAACCCCGGCGAGGGGAGUGAAAAAGAACCUGAAACCGUGUACGUACAAGCAGUGGGAGCCUCUUUAUGGGGUGACUGCGUACCUUUUGUAUAAUGGGUCAGCGACUUAUAUUCUGUAGCAAGGUUAACCGAAUAGGGGAGCCGAAGGGAAACCGAGUCUUAACUGGGCGUUAAGUUGCAGGGUAUAGACCCGAAACCCGGUGAUCUAGCCAUGGGCAGGUUGAAGGUUGGGUAACACUAACUGGAGGACCGAACCGACUAAUGUUGAAAAAUUAGCGGAUGACUUGUGGCUGGGGGUGAAAGGCCAAUCAAACCGGGAGAUAGCUGGUUCUCCCCGAAAGCUAUUUAGGUAGCGCCUCGUGAAUUCAUCUCCGGGGGUAGAGCACUGUUUCGGCAAGGGGGUCAUCCCGACUUACCAACCCGAUGCAAACUGCGAAUACCGGAGAAUGUUAUCACGGGAGACACACGGCGGGUGCUAACGUCCGUCGUGAAGAGGGAAACAACCCAGACCGCCAGCUAAGGUCCCAAAGUCAUGGUUAAGUGGGAAACGAUGUGGGAAGGCCCAGACAGCCAGGAUGUUGGCUUAGAAGCAGCCAUCAUUUAAAGAAAGCGUAAUAGCUCACUGGUCGAGUCGGCCUGCGCGGAAGAUGUAACGGGGCUAAACCAUGCACCGAAGCUGCGGCAGCGACACUAUGUGUUGUUGGGUAGGGGAGCGUUCUGUAAGCCUGUGAAGGUGUGCUGUGAGGUAUGCUGGAGGUAUCAGAAGUGCGAAUGCUGACAUAAGUAACGAUAAAGCGGGUGAAAAGCCCGCUCGCCGGAAGACCAAGGGUUCCUGUCCAACGUUAAUCGGGGCAGGGUGAGUCGACCCCUAAGGCGAGGCCGAAAGGCGUAGUCGAUGGGAAACAGGUUAAUAUUCCUGUACUUGGUGUUACUGCGAAGGGGGGACGGAGAAGGCUAUGUUGGCCGGGCGACGGUUGUCCCGGUUUAAGCGUGUAGGCUGGUUUUCCAGGCAAAUCCGGAAAAUCAAGGCUGAGGCGUGAUGACGAGGCACUACGGUGCUGAAGCAACAAAUGCCCUGCUUCCAGGAAAAGCCUCUAAGCAUCAGGUAACAUCAAAUCGUACCCCAAACCGACACAGGUGGUCAGGUAGAGAAUACCAAGGCGCUUGAGAGAACUCGGGUGAAGGAACUAGGCAAAAUGGUGCCGUAACUUCGGGAGAAGGCACGCUGAUAUGUAGGUGAAGUCCCUUGCGGAUGGAGCUGAAAUCAGUCGAAGAUACCAGCUGGCUGCAACUGUUUAUUAAAAACACAGCACUGUGCAAACACGAAAGUGGACGUAUACGGUGUGACGCCUGCCCGGUGCCGGAAGGUUAAUUGAUGGGGUUAGCGGUAACGCGAAGCUCUUGAUCGAAGCCCCGGUAAACGGCGGCCGUAACUAUAACGGUCCUAAGGUAGCGAAAUUCCUUGUCGGGUAAGUUCCGACCUGCACGAAUGGCGUAAUGAUGGCCAGGCUGUCUCCACCCGAGACUCAGUGAAAUUGAACUCGCUGUGAAGAUGCAGUGUACCCGCGGCAAGACGGAAAGACCCCGUGAACCUUUACUAUAGCUUGACACUGAACAUUGAGCCUUGAUGUGUAGGAUAGGUGGGAGGCUUUGAAGUGUGGACGCCAGUCUGCAUGGAGCCGACCUUGAAAUACCACCCUUUAAUGUUUGAUGUUCUAACGUUGGCCCCUAAUCGGGGUUGCGGACAGUGUCUGGUGGGUAGUUUGACUGGGGCGGUCUCCUCCUAAAGAGUAACGGAGGAGCACGAAGGUUGGCUAAUCCUGGUCGGACAUCAGGAGGUUAGUGCAAUGGCAUAAGCCAGCUUAACUGCGAGCGUGACGGCGCGAGCAGGUGCGAAAGCAGGUCAUAGUGAUCCGGUGGUUCUGAAUGGAAGGGCCAUCGCUCAACGGAUAAAAGGUACUCCGGGGAUAACAGGCUGAUACCGCCCAAGAGUUCAUAUCGACGGCGGUGUUUGGCACCUCGAUGUCGGCUCAUCACAUCCUGGGGCUGAAGUAGGUCCCAAGGGUAUGGCUGUUCGCCAUUUAAAGUGGUACGCGAGCUGGGUUUAGAACGUCGUGAGACAGUUCGGUCCCUAUCUGCCGUGGGCGCUGGAGAACUGAGGGGGGCUGCUCCUAGUACGAGAGGACCGGAGUGGACGCAUCACUGGUGUUCGGGUUGUCAUGCCAAUGGCACUGCCCGGUAGCUAAAUGCGGAAGAGAUAAGUGCUGAAAGCAUCUAAGCACGAAACUUGCCCCGAGAUGAGUUCUCCCUGACCCUUUAAGGGUCCUGAAGGAACGUUGAAGACGACGACGUUGAUAGGCCGGGUGUGUAAGCGCAGCGAUGCGUUGAGCUAACCGGUACUAAUGAACCGUGAGGCUUAACCUUACAAC